rnacentral:rRNA from 1 species
AACGAACGCUGGCGGCAUGCCUAACACAUGCAAGUCGAACGAGACCUUCGGGUCUAGUGGCGCACGGGUGCGUAACACGUGGGAAUCUGCCCUUUGCUUCGGAAUAACAGUUAGAAAUGACUGCUAAUACCGGAUGAUGUCGAAAGACCAAAGAUUUAUCGGCAAAGGAUGAGCCCGCGUAGGAUUAGGUAGUUGGUGGGGUAAAGGCCUACCAAGCCGACGAUCCUUAGCUGGUCUGAGAGGAUGAUCAGCCACACUGGGACUGAGACACGGCCCAGACUCCUACGGGAGGCAGCAGUGGGGAAUAUUGGACAAUGGGCGAAAGCCUGAUCCAGCAAUGCCGCGUGAGUGAUGAAGGCCUUAGGGUUGUAAAGCUCUUUUACCAGGGAUGAUAAUGACAGUACCUGGAGAAUAAGCUCCGGCUAACUCCGUGCCAGCCGCCGCGGUAACAC